AGUAACUGGCAGAGGUUACCUCGUAAAUAGCAUGACCUCUGCUAAAAAAAGUAGGAUGAAUCCUAAGGAAGUUAAUAGCUGAAGGCUGCAGCUACUAGAUUCCAGAGAGUGGCCUGGGGCACAAGAUACUCAACCAGAGCAGACAGUGUCAGCCUCUGUCAUGGAAAGCACAGAGCUUCCUAUCCUACAUGAUUGUCUAUUGUAAUGCCAAAUUACAAGCAAUGGAGUCUCACUGUGUUGCCCAGGCUGGAGUGCUGUGGCAUGAUCUCAGCUCACUGCCAUCUCUGCCUCUUGAGUUCAAGCGAUUCUCCUGCCUCAGCUUCCCAAGUAGCUGGGAUUACAGGCGCACGCCACCACGCCCCGCUAGUUUUUGUAUUUUCAGUAGAGACGGGGUUUCACCAUGUUGGCCAGACUGGUCUGUAACUCCAGACUUCAGGUGAUCUGCCCACCUUGGCCUCCCAAAGUGCUGGGAUUACAGGCCUGAGCCACCAUGCCCAGCCAAUUUCCAUAUAUUUUUUAUACUGGGAUUUCAGAGAGUAAUUUCCUCUUCAUGUGUAACCAGUUAUGUGAAUUAAAACAGAUUCAGCCUUCUUUUACGGUUGUG
rnacentral:lncRNA from 1 species